rnacentral:sRNA from 1 species
GGGGAUGCAAUGGUUUCGACGGGGGUUUUGAAGAUAGAGAUAGCCAUUCGUAGUUGGGAGCUACGUUAAAAGCUCAAAACUUUUUAAAAAUAAACGACAAAGAACAAUUUGCGUUUGCAGCUUAAUUAAAAGCUGCCGUUAGCCUUUAGUAACUCACUGCUAAAGAAUCUAGCGUCGAACUUGUGAGCAACUUUGUUUUGUAAGCUUUGCCAAAACAAAAGAAUUUAUGAAGCUACUAAGCGUAAUCGUUUGUUGGUUGAUAGUUAUGCUUAGGAAUUUUUUUCAAUCAACUGUAAUGGGAGAAGUCUUUAUUGACGGGCUUUCGGACAGGAGUUCGAUUCUCCUCAUCUCCAUCU